rnacentral:rRNA from 1 species
UGUCCAGACUCCUACGGGAGGCAGCAGCGGGGAAUAUUGCACAAUGGGGGAAACCCUGAUGCAGCGACGCCGCGUGAGCGAUGAAGUAUUUCGGUAUGUAAAGCUCUAUCAGCAGGGAAGAAGAUGACGGUACCUGACUAAGAAGCCCCGGCUAACUACGUGCCAGCAGCCGCGGUAAUACGUAGGGGGCAAGCGUUAUCCGGAUUUACUGGGUGUAAAGGGAGCGUAGACGGCGAUGCAAGCCAGAUGUGAAAGCCCGGGGCUCAACCCCGGGACUGCAUUUGGAACUGUGUGGCUGGAGUGUCGGAGAGGCAGGCGGAAUUCCUAGUGUAGCGGUGAAAUGCGUAGAUAUUAGGAGGAACACCAGUGGCGAAGGCGGCCUGCUGGACGAUGACUGACGUUGAGGCUCGAAAGCGUGGGGAGCAAACAGGAUUAGAUACCCUAGUAG